rnacentral:rRNA from 1 species
UACGUAGGGUGCAAGCGUUGUCCGGAAUCACUGGGCGUAAAGGGUGCGUAGGCGGGUCUUUAAGUCAGGGGUGAAAUCCUGGAGCUCAACUCCAGAACUGCCUUUGAUACUGAGGAUCUUGAGUACGGGAGAGGUGAGUGGAACUGCGAGUGUAGAGGUGAAAUUCGUAGAUAUUCGCAAGAACACCAGUGGCGAAGGCGGCUCACUGGCCCGUAACUGACGCUGAGGCACGAAAGCGUGGGGAGCAAACAGG